UACGUAAGGUCCGAGCGUUGUCCGGAAUCAUUGGGCGUAAAGGGUACGUAGGCGGAUAAGCAAGUUAGAAGUGAAAUCCUAUAGCUCAACUAUAGUAAGCUUUUAAAACUGCUCAUCUUGAGGUAUGGAAGGGAAAGUGGAAUUCCUAGUGUAGCGGUGAAAUGCGCAGAUAUUAGGAGGAAUACCGGUGGCGAAGGCGACUUUCUGGCCAUAAACUGACGCUGAGGUACGAAAGCGUGGGUAGCAAACAGG
rnacentral:rRNA from 2 species